rnacentral:rRNA from 1 species
GUGCCAGCAGCCGCGGUAAUACGGAGGAUGCGAGCGUUAUCCGGAUUUAUUGGGUUUAAAGGGUGCGUAGGCGGACGUUCAAGUCGGCGGUCAAAUGGGCGGGCUCAACCCGUUCUCGCCGUCGAAACUGGGCGACUGGAGUGGGAGAGAGGCAUGCGGAAUGCGCGGUGUAGCGGUGAAAUGCAUAGAUAUCGCGCAGAACUCCGAUCGCGAAGGCAGCGUGCCGGCUCCUUACUGACGCUGAAGCACGAAAGCGUGGGGAUCGAACAGGAUUAGAUACCCUGGUAGUCCACGCAGUAAACGAUGAGCACUAGGUGUGCGGCCGGUCAGGCUGCGUGCCACAGCGAAAGCGUUAAGUGCUCCACCUGGGGAGUACGCCGGCAACGGUGAAACUCAAAGGAAUUGACGGGGGCCCGCACAAGCGGAGGAACAUGUGGUUUAAUUCGAUGAUACGCGAGGAACCUUACCCGGGCUCGAACGGCGGAGGGCGGGCGCCGAAAGGCGCCUUCACGCAAGUGUCUCCGUCGAGGUGCUGCAUGGUUGUCGUCAGCUCGUGCCGUGAGGUGUCGGCUUAAGUGCCAUAACGAGCGCAACCCCCGCCGGCAGUUGCUAACGGGCAAUGCCGAGGACUCUGCCGGGACUGCCGGCGCAAGCCGCGAGGAAGGCGGGGAUGACGUCAAAUCAGCACGGCCCUUACGUCCGGGGCGACACACGUGUUACAAUGGCGGGUACAGCGGGAAGCGACCGUGCGAGCGGGAGCGGAGCCCGAAAACCCGUCUCAGUUCGGAUCGGAGUCUGCAACCCGACUCCGUGAAGCUGGAUUCGCUAGUAAUCGCGCAUCAGCCAUGGCGCGGUGAAUACGUUCCCGGGCCUUGUACACACCGCCCGU